GGAGAGGCCAUAGCUCAGUGGUAGAGCGUCUGCAGAGCAAGGAGAAGGUCCCAGGUACAAUUCCUGACAUCUCUA